GGUCCUGAACAAAAAGAAAAUCCCAUUUUUCAGGAGGGUCCUGAACAAAAAGUAAAAUCCCAUUUUUCAGGAGGGUCAUGAACGGAAAGUAAAUCCCAUUUUCCAGGAGGGUUCUGAACGGAGAGUAAAAUCCCAUUUUCCAUGAGGGUCCCGAACGAAAAGUAAAAUCUCAUUUUUUCAGGAGGGUCCUAAACAGAAAGUAAAAUCCCAUUUUUUAGG
rnacentral:lncRNA from 1 species